rnacentral:lncRNA from 1 species
GGUAUCGGGACAACUCGCCCUGUUUACAAGUUCGCCCUUGAAGUUACGAAUUUGCAAUCCUGCAGACAAGAAGAUUUUGUUUUUAAAUAAAAAGGAUAUAUAAAGUGUUGUCUUUUAUUCAUGGUUUUCCUUUGUCAUGUGAAUUAGAUGCCCUUCGUAACAUACAUGUGAACCUCCCGACGGGAGUACAAACUCCCGUUUUCAGGGGUCUCCUCCCGUCCUCCCGUUUAGGAGAAAAAACUCCCGUGUAUGAAAUAUUUCAUGAAUGAAAAUUUUCAGACGCCAUAUUUGAUCAUUUCUUACUACUGUACGGGUGUAAUUGACACCUGUGUUAAAUUUUACCUGAACAUCAAAGAAGAUGUAUAAUUAUAUGGCUUCACUUGACAGCUUGGGUGUCAAACAUACUGGUAAUCAACGAUGUUUACCUCCGGCUAACUGCCGUUGUGUUAUCAAAACGAUGUGUAUUGGGAAUAUUGAAAUACUUUUUUGUUACUUCCCUUUGUUUUAUCCUGUUUUC